CUCGCCCCACCUCUUCCUCCUCCUCCCAGCCCCCGGCUCCAGAAACCCCUGGGCGUGUUGAGUACUUCACAGGAACAAACCAGAAAGGAAAACCUGAGAGGAAACAAGCCACCAGCUGUCAGAGUCACAAUUCAGAAGGGGACUCCAAGUGACAGAGGAGUGAGCCACUCCGCUGGCAGGACAUUCCUGGGCCUGAACACAUCUAAAGGGACCCGACACUGGAUUCUGAGUGGGCACAGGCACAUGCACUUCUUGUCACAUUGAUGACCCUUCAACGAGGACAGUGGAGAGCAGAGAAGCGAUGCACCUGCAAGUGGACACCUUUCCAUUGGUGGAAGUCAGCAGCAGAGUUGGAAAUGGGGCAUGCCGCUGUGAACUCUGAAGCACACCAUCCCCUCCAGUCUCCCCCAGCAGCCACUUGAUCCUGAGACCCCU